rnacentral:misc_RNA from 1 species
UCUUACGCGGCCCAGCUGUGACUAGCCUAACUGACACUACUGUCAACAUAGAGGCUAAGUGUCAAGAUCAAAUUAGGCCUAUUGAAGCGUUAGAAGGUCACUUUAUGUGGAAAGAUGUCAUCUGUGAAUUUGUCUUAUGAACAUAAUGUCGAGGAUGUUCUAGACUUUGAAAUAGACACUGACAAACCGGGAGGUACAUUUGCUGUCAGUGUGGGUGCACUGCUUAUGCUUGCAUACUUUUUGUCAUUGGUUGUGUCAUAUUUGCACAUUCGCACUGAUUCUAUUGUUUAUCCCAUGGCACGGGCACCAACAGGACAGUACUUCUGUGAGUACUUCAUCCUGAUCAGGACAUCUCUUAGGCCAGAGUCCUCAUUUGAUCGUCAGCUGAGAGGACGGAUAUUUAUACAGCUGUUUGGAUCCUUCGCAGAUUCCCCUGUUCUUCUUUUGAAAAAAGGAAGAGGCAUUCAGUUCUUUUUUGCCCGUGGCGCCACCAACAUUUUCGUUUUCCAUUCACCUUAUGAUUUAGGUGACAUUGUGAGUUUCAAAUUUGAAUUCAUCAAUGACGCUCCUUAUGAAAUUCCAUUCAUUUCUUGGUUUCCAUCUUUUGUGUCAGUGCUGCGUCCUGCCACAAAAAAACAUUGGGGAUGCCAACCCGAAGAAAAACUUUUUUGUCAUGACAAAAUGGCAAUGACAUUUGACUGCACCCCAGGCCUGAGAGACUCAAAUGGAAUCCUUAAAUCUCUUUUUCUGUAUCAUAACUGGCUUUCAAUGAUGAAUUCACCUGUGAGAUUUGGCAUGUACAGCAACAUUGUGAACACAAUAAUGGUGUAUUUCUCUCCUGUGAUGAUCCUGUCCAUUCUUGAGUUGUAUCAGUUUGUGCAAGAUUCGAGAGAUGCGCCUCAGUAUCUGCCAGAGAUUUUAAAAACCCCCGAAGUUUGUGUUGCUCUGACUGUGGUUCUGGUGUGGAUCACUCAACUUCUGCUGGAGGCCUUAUUAAGAAACACAGCCCCAAAAUCCUAUUGUGCAUCAUUGAAACUCUAUGAUGGCCUCGCAGAUGUCAUAGAGUCUCCAUUCAUUGGACGCGAUUUUCUUGUUGAAUAUGACUGGGAAGGAGUCAAACCAUUGAUUCCCAGACACGGUGUAGUAAUGGCCAUGGGGAGCUCACAUGGAUAUGCCCAGAGUGUCUUUAACAUUGGAAAGCUUCAUUCUGUCUACAAUCUUUGGGGCAUAUAUACAUUAGAGGAACAAAGAGAGUGGAGUAUCUUUACACGAAGCAUUAAUGCAGCUGCUCUUCCGCUGCCUCCGUCAAUGAGGUGGCUUGCUAAGGAAACUUGGAGCAUCAAAGAAGAAAUACUUGUAAAUCAGUAUGAAAGAACACACGACAGUCCAGUGUGCCUCUUCUGUUCCUGGUUACGCGACUGGCCUGCACCUUACAUUAAUGAACCUCAGCAGGCAGGUGUGAUCUUCAGUAACAUCAUCUGCAAAGAUAUUCUUACCCUCAUCAAGAUGGAGAACAGGCUCACCCGUGCACGAUUUGCUCGUGUUUGUUUGUUCCAAUGGCAUGGAUUGCUGUGUUUUGUUUUCUUGUACUUCAUUUUGCAAGAAGCAGACAGAAGAAAUGAAGCCACAUCAGCUAUCAAAGCCUUCAUUCGGAGAACAGUGGAUCAAUUUAGCAACAGGAAUGCGCGUGAAAUCCAGGCGAAGUGGGAAUUGAGAAAGCGACAUUUCCAGUCUGUAUUUAAAGGAAAGAUCAGAUCUGUAACUUCCCUACCAGCAGGAGUGUUACAAAUAAAGGAUGAACUUGAACUGUUUGCUCAUCAUCAACCACACUAUGACUACCUCACAAGUAAACAAGAUGUUACGAGAAAUCUUCUGGAAGACGAGUGGGAUGAUGAAAAUAUGAGUGCCCAGCCUUUUGUUUUCACAACAUGUAAGAUUGCGAGCUCCAUAUUAAAGAGAAUUUUCCCAGUGAUGAAAAAAGCAAACACUGAAUUGAAAUCUCGUUGGAGUAAUGAUGGCUCCUGGGACUUUGACAAUUUUGAGACGGAUGAACUGAUUUUUGAAAAAAAUGGAGAUAAUUGCAGUGGAUCUGGCUUAUUCAAAGCAGGAACUAGAAGGACAAACAAGAAAACAAAUGGGUCUGGUGAUGACGCUUUGAAUGUCAGUAAUGAAGCACAUGAAAUUGAGCAUCAGUCACCUUGCCGAAAGAUGAAUGUAAGGAUGGAUUGUUAUGAUGACAUAGAGCCUACAGGAUAUUAUGAAGUAGAAGAGUGCCCAGAGAGAAGGAAGAGAAAACGCUUCAGUGGAAACUUAUCAGGUCGAAAGUCUUCAUCAGGGCUGCAUACAGGACCCAGUGCUAAUCAACCCUGUAGUUCACGGACAUCAGUUAAAGAAAGCUGGAAGUUUGAUCAGAACAAUUGUGCUCUUGAGGAUUUGCAGCAAGAGAAAAAAGACAAAGACCAAAUUGUCAAGGAGAAACUAGAGAAAAAGAGAAGGACUAACGAACCAGUACAGAAAGUGGAAGGUGUAACCGAUGAGAAGAAAAUAGUAAAUAAAGAGGUACAGGAUGUUGAUGACCUUGAAGAUAGGAAGAGCUGCCCUAUAUCAUCUUUCGAAACUGUGAAGCUGGGAUGCAGCUAUAACAAAAGUGUAAUGCCCAAAGAAAAUCCUUCAAACCCAUCCAUGCUUCUUCGACACAAGGAUGAACUUUCUGGUUAUUGUUGUGGAACUGAGAAAUGUGAACUUUAUCUAGAAAUUCACAAGAAGGUUGGCCAUAUCUCAUUGGAAAUAAUAAGGAAACAAUUACUGAAACUCCUGCACUAUGCCAUGGAUUCGAGAUUCAACAGGCUGGAAAGAUCAAAAUGCUGGCUGAGAAAGAAACUGGUGACCACAACUUUUGAAUCCAUGGUUAAAAAGGCUCAACUGUUUGAUGAUUCCAUGUUCCGCCCUACAAAUGAAGAUAAAAAUAGCUUUGUAGGUUUUAUCUGCAAUGAGCUCAUGACCAGUAAUCUUACCAUUCUAGAGGUCAUGCUGGAUGUGGUUGAUAUCAACCGCCAGGUAUGCAAAAUGCUGCAAGCCAAAGAGAUGGCCGACAGUCUGGCCUUGAAUAAUCCAGGUGAUGGCCAGAAGAAAGCAAAUCUUAAAGGAGGAAAAAAGGACAAAACAAGACCACCCCGAUGCCUGUUUUGUGCAAAAAUCUUGAAGAUUGAGACUAAUGCAAUGACAAAGGGAUGCUACAAUAUGGAGAAGCUUGUGAAGUUCUUUACCAGAGACACCAUCAUUGUUGCGGAGAAAGAGAUUAAUUUGCAGUUCAUUAGCAAAAUGACUGUACAGAGCUACUGUGCCAUGAUUGUGAACAUCUCAAAGAAAGAACUACUCAUGGAACUAGAGGACCCUCCUUUGGUUCUCUCCACCAAAAUGAUUCGAGCCAUGAUAUACUCUUUGCUGGAUGAGAACUUGCCCAAACACAAAGACUUGAAAGACAUGUCGGCAGAAGAGCUCAGGCGCAUGGGAACCCGAAGACAGAGGAUUCAGGCUCGCCAUGACCCACUGUCUGGAAACAGAUUAAAAGAAAGCCAAGAGCAAAAACGCAGAAAAGCUUUGAUCCAGGCCCUUGUUGAUGAAUUUUCUACCAAAUGGAGAGUAAAUGUCAAAGAGAACACACUGGUUUACAGCGCUGAACUACUAGCCCAGUGUCUUGUGCAAGAACGCAUCCUUGGUUUUUCCAUCUACUCUGGCUUUAUCAGUAAAGAACAUGAAAUGUUGCUGGACGGUAGUCGCAGCCGCCUGGCUGAAGUGGAGGAGAAAGCCUACAAUACUGUGAUCUUCAUUGCAAGGAAGUUCCUUUCUCCCAUCUUGACAGAGAUUUUGAACAGUGGUAAUGAAGUUGAUGUUCUCUUUAUGAAGCAGAAAAUGGAAAUCAAUUACUUUGUGGAAGCAAUUAAUGUUAUUCAAGUCUCAAAAGUACCUUCCUUUUUGAAGACAUGCUGCCACUACAUUGAGGAUAUUGUGACUGUCAAAAUGGAAGAGUUCAAAGAAUUCAGGCUCUACAUGAAGAAUUUGAAGCCAAUGAGAGAUUUGUUCUUGACUCCUAAUCUGAAACUGUGGAACCACAGGAGGAGACACAACCCAUGGCCAUUGCCUCUCCAAUUCUCCGCUGGGGACCUGUGGCUGUCAAAGGAGAGAAACCCCUUCCAGAGGAACUGAAAACUGUGGUAAACAAAACAGCAGAUUUUGACACACUACUUACCCAAGUCAUUAGCAACAGUGCUGGUGACCCAGUUAAAGAAGCCCUUGU